CACGGAUGUACAUUUCCUGAGAAAUUCUAUUUUACAAGAGAGGAAGAGCAUAGAUUGUUUACUGUCGUCGUCCGGAUUUUGUGAACCCCUCUAGUACGCACGGUCAUCUGUGUUCGUUACACUUUUCAAAGAAGUGCUAUGAAAGAGACCUAACCUGUGGCGAAAUAUGGAUACGAAUAAGCAAAACCAGAGACCAUAUACCGACUUAAACUUUAAAAGGAUGCUAUAUAUCGGGCAUUCCUUUCGACAUUCCAAACAAACACAGAGGCCGAAAUGUCAACUUGGGACUGAGACCGAGAGAGUUGCAUUCCGGACGCGACGUUAGUUGCAGGAUGUACAUGGCAGCAUUUCACAUCAAUGAAAACAGCCUAAAUGCCCUAGAAGUGACCAAGACUGGAGAACCCAACUGGGCAAUCAGCUACCCCUAGCCCUAAACCAAGAGGCCCAGCCAGUGAACAAGAAAGUACAUGAGUUUGUUGAAUUCCUACCCAGUAGGCCAUUCUUAGGAGA